rnacentral:tRNA from 1 species
GCGGAAGUAGUUCAGUGGUAGAACAUCACCUUGCCAUGGUGGGGGUCGCAGGUUCGAAUCCUGUUUUCCCGA